UAGGGAAUCUUCCGCAAUGGGCGAAAGCUUGACGGAGCAACGCCGCGUGAGUGAUGAAGGUCUUCGGAUCGUAAAACUCUGUUAUUAGGGAAGAACAAAUGUGUAAGUAACUAUGCACGUCUUGACGGUACCUAAUCAGAAAGCCACGGCUAACUACGUGCCAGCAGCCGCGGUAAUACGUAGGUGGCAAGCGUUAUCCGGAAUUAUUGGGCGUAAAGCGCGCGUAGGCGGUUUUUUAAGUCUGAUGUGAAAGCCCACGGCUCAACCGUGGAGGGUCAUUGGAAACUGGAAAACUUGAGUGCAGAAGAGGAAAGUGGAAUUCCAUGUGUGGCGGUGAAAUGCGCAGAGAUAUGGGGGAGCACCAGUGGCGAAGGCGACUUUCUGGUCUGUAACUGACGCUGAUGUGCGAACGCGUGGGGAUCAAACAGG
rnacentral:rRNA from 1 species